rnacentral:lncRNA from 1 species
UGGCCCUGGAGAAAUCUGAUCUGCAGAACUGCACAAAUGCCUCUAUCCCUCUAAGGGAGAUCUCACACCCUGGCAAGGUUAUGUCUUCAUCUGUCUGCGUGUUUUAUCAAUAAAGGAAGGAAAAGCCUCGUAAUUAUUUGUAGAAAUACCUUUGGUUGCACUCUGUGCCUGGGGGAAUUUGGACACAAACAGACAUACAAGAAGAAUGCCAUGUGAACCUGAAGGCAGAGAUCAGAUGAUGUUUCCACAAGCCAACAAAAUGCCAAAGAUUACCAGCAAACGACCAGAAGCUACAAUCAAGGAAUGGAACAGAUUCUCUCUCAGAGUCCUCAGAAGGAAGAACCCCGCUGAUACCUUGAUCUCAGACUUCCAGCCUCCAAAACUGGGAGAUGAUGCAUUUCUUUCGCUCCAUGAAGAAAGACAGAGGAAUUGAUGUGUGUUCAAGACUUGAGAGCCAUGGAGAGGAGCUGGUAUCACCAUUGCCUGCAGCUCAGGCCCAUCACUGCAUCCUUCACUCCACUAUUCCUCACCUGGAUUCACCUCACCCCUGACGUUAGAACCUGAAC